AAGAAGAGGGAUGGAGGGAGGGAAAUAAGAGUGAGAGGAGGGAGAAGUUAGUGGAUCCUGUUUCACAAGCCAGAGCUACAUAAAAUUUAGUGCUGAGGUGAAUGAGAAGGAAAAGUCUUUAUAUUUGAAAUGAAAAGAGAUGGCAUAUCAGCUAAGACCGAGAGAUGGGUGCCAUCCCCCUGCUAAUUUCCAUCUCUGCAGGAAGCUGCACAUACUUCAGCAGGCGCUGGAUUCUGCUGCAAUAACACCCCUAAAAUCUCAGUGCUAUUUGACACUAGACAUCUUCGUCUCUUUUGCUGAUUGUGUGUCCUUGUGUUGUGCAGGGCCUCUGCUCACAGCAGUCCUCCAGGGACACAGGUUGGCAGAUGUUCCUUUGCAACGCUUGCUUCCAUAAUCACCAAAGCAAAAGGAUACAAGAAGAAAAGGAGGAAGGCACAGAAUCUGCAUUCUGGCGCUUAAAGCCACCACAUGGAAGAAACAUAUGGCACCUCCAUUCUCAUUUUACAGGCUUAAGACAGUGACAUGCAGGAGAGAAAUCCAAUCCUGCUGCUUUCCUGGAAGGAGAGGGUCAGAGAAAAUCGCCUAAUAUCUUCCACAGUUAUUCCAUGCAACAUAAUAUUCGGUCCAGGCUUCUUUUCAUGUAUAAAAUAUACUUACUCCAUCCCAAGGGAGACAACCCCCAAAGCCUCGUAAAAUAAUGAGAGCAAAUGUAAAGUUCAGGGUACCUGGUGAUAUGCUGUCAUCUCUAAAGCACAUCUCCAUCCCUGCUUUUUGGUCCAGACAGAUUUUAGGACCAAAAUGGAGAGCAGGAAUUGCCUAGAGGUUCAUAGAAAAAUUGAGUUCAGCAAUCUGCCAUUUUUUCACAACAAUGGGAUGAUUUCCACCAUGACAUAAAAAGAAAAGCUCCACACAAAGCUCAUGGACCUUGGACUUCUGGUCUGCAGAACCACAAGACAAGUACUGGAGAAGCAGAGCGGCCCCAUGAAUUCAACCAAGCUGAUGUUCAGAGCUACUGCCUUGGGCUUCCUGGAACUCUUGGAAAUAUUGUGGGAUGGGGCUGGAGAAAACAAUGCAGCUUACAGUGCUGUGAGAACU